GACGAACGCUGGCGGCGUGCUUAACACAUGCAAGUCGAACGGAAAGGCCCUGCUUUUGUGGGGUGCUCGAGUGGCGAACGGGUGAGUAACACGUGAGUAACCUGCCCUUGACUUUGGGAUAACUUCAGGAAACUGGGGCUAAUACCAGAUAGGGGCUCCUGCUGCAUGGUGGGGGUUGGAAAGUUUCGGCGGUUGGGGAUGGACUCGCGGCUUAUCAGCUUGUUGGUGGGGUAGUGGCUUACCAAGGCUUUGACGGGUAGCCGGCCUGAGAGGGUGACCGGCGUAAGGUGGACGGUGAUGCGGCCGACGAUGCGAGGGGGGGGAGGAGGGGAGAAAGCUAGACGGGGGCUGGGAGCAGGAUGCAGGAGGGCCGGGGGGGGGUUGUCGGGCGUGGGGUUGGACCCCGCGUGCGGCGGUGACGAGGGGUGAGUAAGGGUGAGGGGUAAAGAAGCACCGACUGACUACGUGGCGGAGGGCACGGGAAUAGUCGGAAGAGCACAGGUCUGAAC
rnacentral:rRNA from 1 species